rnacentral:misc_RNA from 1 species
GAAAUGCGAUAAGUAAUGUGAAUUGCAGAAUUCAGUGAAUCAUCGAAUCUUUGAACGCACCUUGCGCUCCUUGGUAUUCCGAGGAGCAUGCCUGUUUGAGUGUCAUGGAAUUCUCAACUCUAUUUGCUUUUGUGAAUAGAGCUUGGAUUUGGAGGUUUAUUGCUGGUACUUGUGAUCGGCUCUUCUUGAAUGCAUUAGCUCGAACCUUUGCGGAUCAGCUAUCGGUGUGAUAAUUGUCUACGCCGUUGCAGUGAAGCAUAUCAAUGGGCUCGGCUUCCAAUCGUCCUUUACUGGACUAUGACUUUGACCUUUGACCUCAAAUCAGGUAGGAUUACCCGCUGAACUUAAGC